rnacentral:rRNA from 1 species
AGCGAACGCUGGCGGCAGGCCUAACACAUGCAAGUCGAACGAACUCUUCGGAGUUAGUGGCGGACGGGUGAGUAACACGUGGGAACGUGCCUUUUGGUUCGGAAUAACUCAGGGAAACUUGUGCUAAUACCGAAUGUGCCUUUCGGGGGAAAGAUUUAUCGCCAUUAGAGCGGCCCGCGUCUGAUUAGCUAGUUGGUGAGGUAACGGCUCACCAAGGCGACGAUCAGUAGCUGGUCUGAGAGGAUGACCAGCCACACUGGGACUGAGACACGGCCCAGACUCCUACGGGAGGCAGCAGUGGGGAAUCUUGCGCAAUGGGCGAAAGCCUGACGCAGCCACGCCGCGUGAAUGAUGAAGGUCUUAGGAUUGUAAAAUUCUUUCACCGGGGACGAUAAUGACGGUACCCGGAGAAGAAGCCCCGGCUAACUUCGUG